rnacentral:rRNA from 1 species
ACAACUUUCAACAACGGAUCUCUUGGCUCUCGCAUCGAUGAAGAACGCAGCGAAAUGCGAUAAGUAAUGUGAAUUGCAGAAUUCAGUGAAUCAUCGAAUCUUUGAACGCACCUUGCGCUCCUUGGUAUUCCGAGGAGCAUGCCUGUUUGAGUGUCAUGGAAUUCUCAACCUUU